rnacentral:misc_RNA from 1 species
UUCAAUCUGAAUGGUUUCAACUUUUUCAUCCUCUUGAACUCCUUGGCGACCAUUUUCUUUCAUAUGCUCAUUUGAUUUGGGGAAGUCAACAUUCCCCAUUUGACCAACAAAAUUCUUUCCUCGAGUAGAACUUGUAUCAGAACCACUUGUCUCGACAUUCUGAAAAUCUCUGUCAAUCUCUUUUAAAACAGCAGAUGCAGUGCCACCAGAUUUAUCCUUGUCUUCCUUAGUUGCAUCAUCACCAUGAUUCAUAUGCUCAAUUCUGA